rnacentral:rRNA from 1 species
GUAGGGAAUCUUCCACAAUGGACGAAAGUCUGAUGGAGCAACGCCGCGUGAGUGAAGAAGGUUCUCGGAUCGUAAAACUCUGUUGUGAGGGAAGAACAAGUACCGGAGUAACUGCCGGUACCUUGACGGUACCUCAUUAGAAAGCCACGGCUAACUACGUGCCAGCAGCCGCGGUAAUACGUAGGUGGCAAGCGUUGUCCGGAAUCAUUGGGCGUAAAGCGCGCGCAGGCGGUCCCUUAAGUCUGAUGUGAAAGCCCACGGCUCAACCGUGGAGGGUCAUUGGAAACUGGGGGACUUGAGUGCAGAAGAGGAAAGCGGAAUUCCAAGUGUAGCGGUGAAAUGCGUAGAGAUUUGGAGGAACACCAGUGGCGAAGGCGGCUUUCUGGUCUGUAACUGACGCUGAGGCGCGAAAGCGUGGGGAGCAAACAGG